AUGCAGCCAUACCUCUCCAUCUCUCCCAUGUUGCCAGAUCGAGCCGACGAGGUCCGUCCACGGCCAGAUCCGCCACGGCCACCGAGGGCCUUCCAGAUCCGCGCCGUCGUUGAGCUGGAUCCACGCCCUGCUAGGCACACCAUGGCCGACGUCCUCAAGGCGACCUCCAUGGACGACAUCGAUGACAAGGACGAGGAGGAAGACGACCAUGACAUGCGUGACCCCACCCCCGAGCCCGACGAGCUUGACGAGGAGAUGUCAAGUCCAACCUCGAGCUCGACCAUGACGGCGUCGUCCAGCCCGACCAUGACGAUGCGCCACAGAAGGGUGCCCAGAAUUUGA
rnacentral:rRNA from 1 species